GUUUGGUUAAGUUAGAAAGGGCGCACGGUGGAUGCCUUGACACUAGGAGUCGAUGAAGGACGGGAUUAACGCCGAUAUGCUUCGGGGAGCUGUAAGUAAGCUUUGAUCCGAAGAUUUCCGAAUGGGGAAACCCACCAUACGUAAUGGUAUGGUAUCCUUANCUGAAUACAUAGGGUAAGGAAGACAGACCCAGGGAACUGAAACAUCUAAGUACCUGGAGGAAGAGAAAGCAAAUGCGAUUUCCUGAGUAGCGGCGAGCGAAACGGAACAUAGCCCAAACCAAGAGGCUUGCCUCUUGGGGUUGUAGGACAUUCUAUACGGAGUUACAAAGGAACGAGGUAGACGAAGCGACCUGGAAAGGUCCGUCGUAGAGGGUAACAACCCCGUAGUCGAAACUUCGUUCUCUCUUGAAUGUAUCCUGAGUACGGCGGAACACGUGAAAUUCCGUCGGAAUCUGGGAGGACCAUCUCCCAAGGCUAAAUACUCCCUAGUGAUCGAUAGUGAACCAGUACCGUGAGGGAAAGGUGAAAAGCACCCCGGAAGGGGAGUGAAAGAGAUCCUGAAACCGUGUGCCUACAAAUAGUCAGAGCCCGUUAACGGGUGAUGGCGUGCCUUUUGUAGAAUGAACCGGCGAGUUACGAUCCCGUGCGAGGUUAAGCUGAAGAGGCGGAGCCGCAGCGAAAGCGAGUCUGAAUAGGGCGUUUAGUACGUGGUCGUAGACCCGAAACCAGGUGAUCUACCCAUGUCCAGGGUGAAGUUCAGGUAACACUGAAUGGAGGCCCGAACCCACGCACGUUGAAAAGUGCGGGGAUGAGGUGUGGGUAGCGGAGAAAUUCCAAUCGAACCUGGAGAUAGCUGGUUCUCCCCGAAAUAGCUUUAGGGCUAGCCUUAAGUGUAAGAGUCUUGGAGGUAGAGCACUGAUUGGACUAGGGGUCCUCAUCGGAUUACCGAAUUCAGUCAAACUCCGAAUGCCAAUGACUUAUCCUUAGGAGUCAGACUGCGAGUGAUAAGAUCCGUAGUCAAAAGGGAAACAGCCCAGACCGCCAGCUAAGGUCCCAAAGUGUGUAUUAAGUGGAAAAGGAUGUGGAGUUGCUUAGACAACUAGGAUGUUGGCUUAGAAGCAGCCACCAUUUAAAGAGUGCGUAAUAGCUCACUAGUCGAGUGACUCUGCGCCGAAAAUGUACCGGGGCUAAAUACACCACCGAAGCUGCGGAUUGAUACCAAUGGUAUCAGUGGUAGGGGAGCGUUCUAAGGACAGUGAAGUCAGACCGGAAGGACUGGUGGAGUGCUUAGAAGUGAGAAUGCCGGUAUGAGUAGCGAAAGACGGGUGAGAAUCCCGUCCACCGAAUGCCUAAGGUUUCCUGAGGAAGGCUCGUCCGCUCAGGGUUAGUCAGGACCUAAGCCGAGGCCGACAGGCGUAGGCGAUGGACAACAGGUUGAUAUUCCUGUACCACCUCUUUAUCGUUUGAGCAAUGGAGGGACGCAGAAGGAUAGAAGAAGCGUG
rnacentral:rRNA from 1 species